AACAUAUCCAGUGGGUAUUUCCUUGUCAAAUCCUUUAACCUCUCCCAAGCCUCAUAAAGUGUUUCACCAUCCUGCUGUCUGAAAGUUUCCACCUCGUCUCUUAACCU